UACGUAGGGUCCAAGCAUUAUCCGGAAUUACUGGGCGUAAAGAGUUGCGUAGGUGGCAGAGUAAGCAGACAGUGAAAUCGUGUGGCUCAACCAUACACACAUUGCCUGAACUACUCAGCUAGAAGAUGAGAGAGGUCGCUAGAAUUCCUAGUGUAGGAGUGAAAUCCGUAGAUAUUAGGAGGAAUACCGAUGGCGUAGGCGAGGCGACUGGCUCAUUCUUGACACUAAGGCACGGAAAGCGUGGGGAGCGAACGGG
rnacentral:rRNA from 1 species